ACUAGUUACAGUGGUAGCUACUGUACAUUUAAAUGUAUAGAGGAAAGUCCGGACACCCCUUAAUUUAUUAAGGAAGUAAACAGUUGUUAACAACAACGGGGAGUAAUCCUACGGAAAGUGCAACAGAAAAUAUACCGCCUAAUUUAUUAGGUAAGGUUGAAAUCGUGCGGUAAGAGCGCACGCCUAUAUAUAGUGAUUUAUAUAGGUGGUAAACCCUGUUUGGUGCAAGGCCGUGCCUAUUUUAUAUAGGAGUGCCGCUUGAUUCCAAUUUGCAAAAAUCGGAACAGAUAAAUCGUUACCCUCUUUUUUUAAAGAGAACAGAAUCCGGCUUACAAGUAGCUAGUUUAA
rnacentral:RNase_P_RNA from 1 species